CGGGGUAUAGCGCAGCCCGGCUAGCGCACCUGGUUUGGGACCAGGGGGUCGUAGGUUCGAAUCCUACUACCCCGA
rnacentral:tRNA from 1 species